CAGUCGAGAACAAUCAACCCUAGAAAGGGCCCGCACAUCCAUAAUGGUGGAAGAUCUAGACUUAAUAUUUUCUUAGGGAGAUUUGAUUUAGGUCUCAUUAAACUUGACUUGACAUAGUCAUAACAAUUAUGACUAACCUAGUGGCAUGGAUUAUCUUGAAUUGUUAGCCACCUCUAAUCAGAACUAAGUCGACACAUAUGGCC
rnacentral:lncRNA from 1 species